UGCUAGAACUCGGCGUAAAGCGUGGUUAAUUUAUUAUGCUCUAAGACCGAACACCCCCAGAACUGUUAUACGUUCAUGAGGGCAGGAAGGCCUAUAACGAAAGUCGUCUCAAGUAUUAUGAGUCCACGAAAGCUAGGGAA
rnacentral:rRNA from 1 species